GCAGCAAAUGAAACCCCAUAGAAAUAACAAUAGUACUUGUAAAUUAAACUCCUUUAGUAUGAUCAAAACAUGGAUACCAAAAAAAAAAGGCUAAUGAUAGGUGUCAAUUUUAGAGUAAAAAAAAAAGAAUAAAAUGUGCCAUAAUCAGGGCACAUAUUUCUAGCAGCAUUGGGACAAUUGCUAGCAUUUAACUUAUACAGUUGAAACUUGAAUACCCAUCAUUUUGGUUUGGUUUUCCAUACUUUACAUGCACUUAAUAUUUUCAUUGCCUAGCCAAUGUGGGAUUGUUGUGUCCCUUCCUUCAAUAUUCUAACAGUUUAAUAUUUUGUCUAGAAAAAGGUAGGGGAGAAAAAAGAUGCAACAAAUAAACAUUAUUCUACAGCCAUUAAUUCAUUCAGUUAGUAGAUCCAAUCCAUAUUAAGAGAAACAAAAGGGCAUACCGGAGCCACAUCCACAGAAUGUUUAUAAUAAAUUUGCCUCAAAGCAAAUGCACCUAAGUCCUUAGUCAGAUAACCAAAGUAUUUGCAUAAAUUUAAUAAAAAAAAAAUAAAGCAAACAGAAAAAUAAUAUUAUCAAAGAAAACAUAAAAUUCAGUACAUCAUUAACAGCAAACCUUGAAUCUCCAUAACAAUA
rnacentral:misc_RNA from 1 species